GACGAACGCUGGCGGUGUGCUUAACACAUGCAAGUCGAACGGAAAGGCCCUGCUUUUGUGGGGUGCUCGAGUGGCGAACGGGUGAGUAACACGUGAGUAACCUGCCCUUGACUUUGGGAUAACUUCAGGAAACUGGGGCUAAUAUCGGAUAGGAGCUCCUGCUGCAUGGUGGGGGUUGGAAAGUUUCGGCGGUUGGGGAUGGACUCGCGGCUUAUCAGCUUGUUGGUGGGGUAGUGGCUUACCAAGGCUUUGACGGGUAGCCGGCCUGAGAGGGGGACCGGCCACAUUGGUACUGAGAUACGGCCCAGACUCCUACGGUAGGCAGCAGUGGGGAAUAUUGCACAAUGGGCGGAAGCCUGAUGCAGCAACGCCGCGUGCGUGAUGACGGCCUUCUGGUUGUAAACCGCUUUCGCCUGUGACGAAGCGUGAGUGACGGUAAUGGGUAAAGAAGCACCGGCUAACUACGUG
rnacentral:rRNA from 1 species